CGGACGGGUGAGUAACGCGUGGGUAACCUGCCUCAUACAGGGGGAUAACAGUUAGAAAUGACUGCUAAUACCGCAUAAGCGCACGGGGAUGCAUAUCUUUGUGUGAAAAACUCCGGUGGUAUGAGAUGGACCCGCGUCUGAUUAGCUAGUUGGUGAGGUAACGGCUCACCAAGGCGACGAUCAGUAGCCGACCUGAGAGGGUGACCGGCCACAUUGGGACUGAGACACGGCCCAAACUCCUACGGAAGGCAGCAG
rnacentral:rRNA from 1 species